UUAGUAGCGGCGAGCGACAGGCAAGAGCUCAGAUUUGAAAGCCCUCGGGCAUUGUAUUCUGAAGCCUUGGUCCUGAGAAUCGGUGUUUAAGUCUUCUGGAAAGGAGCGCCAUGGAGGGUGAUAGCCCCGUACGACACCACUCUCAUUGUAGGACUUUGGCAUGGAGUCGAGUUGUUUGGGAAUGCAGCUCAAAUGGGUGGUAUGCUCCAUCUAAAGCUAAAUAUCUGCGAGAGACCGAUAGCGAACAAGUACUGUGAAGGAAAGAUGAAAAGAACUUUGAAAAGAGAGUGAAAAAGUACGUGAAAUUGUUGAAAUGGAAGGAUAGGCCGCUAACCAUGUAGGGUCGUGUUUGAGGGGAAGAUAAAAGCUGAAGAAUGUAGCUCCUCGGAGUGUUAUAGCUUCAGUCCAUAUUCCCUCUCGAGCGCGAGGAUUGAAGAC
rnacentral:rRNA from 1 species